GACUGCUAGAAAGGUUUGGUGUGUAUUGGGAAGUAUAUAUUCAGCAUGCAUAUAUUCCGGUGAGCCUAAUUUCAGAGAUUUGUCUUGUUCCCAGUUCAUGUGUUGAGAUUAUAAUUCUUUAUCUCUAACUUUGUAGAAAUUAAGCAUAUCUGUAGUAGAAUAUUGUAUCGUUGGGAUUUAUUUUUAUUUUUACAUUUCUUGAAUUUAACUUUUCUUUGGGAACAGAAAAAGAGAUGAUGCCAUAAAACUCCUUUCCCAGGUAGUUAUUGCUAUAUGGAAUUCACUUUUAUCAUGUCAAGUUGUUAGUUAGGUAUCUAAGGAAUUUUGCAGUCCAGACUUUAAAGGAAGAGCCUUUCCAGCAAGCAAAACUUUUAACUGUUUUUUUUUUUUGAGACGGAGUUUCACUCUUGUCACCCAGGCUGGUGUCCAAUGGCACUAUCUCUGCUUACUGCAACCUCUUCCUCCUGGGUUCAAGUGAUUCUCUUGUCUCAGCUUCCCGAGUAGCUGAGAUUACAGGUGCCUACCACCACACCUGGCUGAUUUUUGUAUUUUUAGUAAAGACUGAGUUUCACCUUGUUGGCCAGGCUGGUCUCGAACUCCUGACCUCAGAUGAUCCGCCUGUCUUGGCCUCCCAAAGUGCUGAGAUUACAGGCAUGAGCCACUGGACCUGGACUUUUGGGUUUUGUUGUUGUUGUUUGUUUGUUGGUUUGUUUGUUUUGAGACUGAGUCUCGCUCUGUUGCCCAGGCUGGAGUGCAAUGGCACUAUCAGGGCUCACUGCAACCUCUGCCUCCCAGGUUCAAAUGAUUCUCCUGCCUCAGC
rnacentral:lncRNA from 1 species